GAUGAACGCUGGCGGCGUGCCUAACACAUGCAAGUCGAGCGAACGCAUGAGCUUAUCUUUCUUCUGUUGUUAGCGACGGGCGGGUGAGUAACAAAUACAUAACCUACCUAUCAGACUGGCGUAACUACGGGAACCCGGAGCUAAUACCGGCCAAUAGUUUUAACCGUUUGGUUCAAUAGAACAAUAAGAUCUUUCUGUUCCUUGUAGAUGGUUCCGUGCUGCAUUAUCUAGUUGGUAAGGUGACGGCUUACCAAGGCAACGAUGCAUAGUCGACGUGAGAGGGUGGGCGGCCACACCGGAACUGAGACACGGUCCAGACUACUACGGGAGGGAGCAGUAGGGAAAGUUACGCAAUUGGAGAAAGCCUGACGGAGACACGCCGCGUGAGUGAAGGAGGUCUUGGGAUCGUAAAACUCUGUUAUUAGGGAAGAACAUAUGUGUAAGUAACUGUGGACAUCUUGAAGGUACCUAAUCAGAAAGCCACGGCUAACUCCGUG
rnacentral:rRNA from 1 species